UUUCUAUGGAUCUUUAGCCUGGGUUUGUGUGGUAUGUGUGUAUAUAUAUUUUUAAUUUUCAAUUUUAAUUUGACCAUUUUAUAUUCUUAAAAUAAAUGCAGUUAGUUUAAAAGGAGAAUAAAUGUCCUUUGACAGACAGAAAAACUGCAUCGUAUGCAGUCUUUGCGAACAAUAGGGAUUGAACUAGAAGCUUUAAUAAGGGUCAUGCAUAAAAUAGAAGGGUUAAUGAAACGGCACAGAGAUUUGCGAUACAAACGAUUAGCGAAGAUUAGGAGGAUGGAAUAUGUGAUAUGUAUCAGAUGAAGUAUCUCUAGAGAAUUUAACCGUAUUUCACAAAGAAGCACUGAUAACUGUAGAUUGAAUGAACGUUACGUGACGGCAUUCAAAAUGUGUUUGAUUUUUGAGAUUCGGUAAGUUUGAGAGGAGAGAAAAUUCAUUUGGGGAAAAAAAUAAGGUGCUGUAAGUUUUCAAAAUGCUACGAAUUCUGUUCGAUAUCUAGAUCAUUUGGAUAGAUUGCGAUGAUCGAUCAAAAUCGGACUAAAGCUACUUUUAAGGGUCAGAAAGGGCGAAUGUUUAGGAAUGAACAAAACUCUGUGUAAAUAAUACGAGCAAAUUUUUAUUUGGGAAAAAUGGAGUAAGAUAAUUAAACUGGAGGAAGGUUAUAAGAAGAGAAUUCCCUUAGAUUUGCAUUUGAAAACCUUUUAGCAACAGCGGUGUAUUGAAGCGUUGAUCAGAUCUUCAUGGAUGAGUCCUAUAAUCACUUUAGAGCUGCACACCAGCUUAUAAUGACAGUUAAUGUGGAUAAAUGGAAUUUUAGAAGAACUCCGUCUUUGUAACAGCCGCCUAAUUACCAACAUCUUCAAUGACUUCAGAUUCUCUGAUUAAAUUUCCCCAAACUAGACUGUAAGUUAGUCUGCUACUUACAUAAAAGCAUCACCACCGCUUGGAUAAUGUUCUCCAUGUUCUGAUUGGCUUACGCAAGCAGCAACCGCAUCGCCACUCCAAGCAGAGGAUGAGUGGACACUCUAAACGUAACGGAUACCGACGUCUUGAUCGGAUUAUUGGGGCUCUGAAGGACAUUGCGAUUCUCGAUGCGGCAGAAGACCGUUAAGAAGCGAACCACAAGAAGAAAAAAAUCUUGUCCUGAAACCAGUCGGACAAAUUUUUCCGCGGUUAUAAUUAAGUCGAUUAGAUGCCAGUAGAAUCUACAAUUACAACCCUCUGGCAAGUACUUCACUCUACUCGAUGGUCUGUCAGAAGAGGUUAACUUUGAAGUGGGAUAUGGCUAGUAAUGAGACAAAUCAAUAUGGGUGGCAUCAAUGCAGAAUGUUUAAGCCUAUACACUACACUGGGUUGCUCUUUUGUUCUGGUUGGUCGUUAGGGGAUAACUUUGUUUACAACAACUCUGACUUUAUAAGAAGGUUGAAUCCAAUUUCUUUGUGUGCUUACAACCGUGCUUUUCUCUAUUGUCUAUCCGUGUAACGCUAUCUAAA
rnacentral:lncRNA from 1 species